rnacentral:rRNA from 1 species
UACGAAGGGGGCUAGCGUUGUUCGGAUUUACUGGGCGUAAAGCGCACGUAGGCGGAUGUGCCAGUCAGGGGUGAAAUCCCGGAGCUCAACUCCGGAACUGCCUCUGAUACAGCACGUCUUGAGUUCGAGAGAGGUGGGUGGAAUUCCUAGUGUAGAGGUGAAAUUCGUAGAUAUUAGGAAGAACACCGGUGGCGAAGGCGGCCCACUGGCUCGAUACUGACGCUGAGGUGCGAAAGCGUGGGGAGCAAACAGGG